rnacentral:rRNA from 1 species
ACUACGGGAGGCAGCAGUGGGGAAUAUUGGGCAAUGGACGCAAGUCUGACCCAGCAACGCCGCGUGAAGGAAGAAGGCUUUCGGGUUGUAAACUUCUUUUAAGGGGGAAGAGCAGAAGACGGUACCCCUUGAAUAAGCCACGGCUAACUACGUGCCAGCAGCCGCGGUAAUACGUAGGUGGCAAGCGUUGUCCGGAUUUACUGGGUGUAAAGGGCGUGCAGCCGGAGAGGCAAGUCAGGAGGGAAAGGCGGGGGCCCAACCCCCGGACUGCUCUGGAAACUGUAUGGCUGGAGUGCAGGAGAGGUAAGCGGAAUUCCUAGUGUAGCGGUGAAAUGCGUAGAUAUUAGGAGGAACACCAGUGGCGAAGGCGGCUUACUGGACUGUAACUGACGUUGAGGCUCGAAAGCGUGGGGAGCAAACAGGAUUAGAUACCCGAGUAGUC